rnacentral:lncRNA from 1 species
CUCUUAUAUAAGAAAAGUACACAAAUGUGUCCUGUGUGUUUUGAAGGUGGACUUGCCCCUCCCAGUAUAGGAACUGAGAAGCCAUUAUCAACUUUAGGAUGAUUUUUUUGAAGAAACUUCCAGGACUCAUGGAGCAUAAAGGUGCUUUUACAGGAGCAUUGGGAACUGACUCUGCAGAAAUGGUUGAGAAGUGGAUGGUUGCACAUAAAAUACCUUUGGUCAGGAUGGCAUGCGGUCACUUGGCAGCUAGUUGUCCUUCUUGGUUACAGCUCUGUGAAGUCAGAGACUGUGGCUGCCUCAAUCAUGUUUGUAUUCUGAACUCAGCACAUGUCACAAUGCUUCAGUAAAUGCUCCUUGAAUAGAAUCAGAGAGAGAAUGAGAUUCCCCAAAAGGAGGUCAAAGAGAGAAACAAGUAUAAGAAGAAAAUAACUUAUUUUCCUCAGUGGCCAAGAAAUUCCAAAAGAAAUUUCUCUGAGAAGAACGAGGGCUUUUAUGUCACCAAAAUCUCCUCUCAGAUCCCCUACCCAUCCCCACUCCAUCCACCCAGGUCAAUUGUUCUAAAAGCCUUCCUUUUCAGCAAAGAAGAAAACAUCAACAAAACAAAAAGGCAACCUACUGAGUGAAAAAGAUAUUUGCAAAUGACAUAUCCAAUAAGGGGUUAGUAUCCAAAAUAUAUAAAGACCUUAUGCAACUCAACACUAAAAACCAAACAAGCUAAUUAAAAAAUGGGUGGAGGACCUGAAUGGACUUUUUCUAGAGGACAUACAGAUGGCUGACAGCCACAUGAAAAGACUCUCAACACCACUUAGCAUCAAGGAAAUGCAAAUCAAUGAGAUACCACCUCACAUCACUCAGAAUGGCUGAAAUAAAAAUAAAAAUGCAAACAAGAAAUACCAAAUACUGGCAAGGAUAUGGAGAAAAAGGUACUCUUACGUACUGUUAGUGGGAACACAAACUGGUGCAGCCACUUUGGAAGACAGUAUGGAGGUUCCUCAAAAAAUUAAAAAUAGAUAUAACCAGAUAACCCAAUAAUUCCACUACUGGGUAUUUAUUUAAGGAAAAUGAAAACAUUAAUUCAAAACAACACAUGCACCUCUAUGCUUAUUGUAGUAUUAUUUACAAUAGGUAAUAUAUGGGAGCCACCUAAGUGUCAGUUGAUAGAUGAAUAAACAAGGAAGAUAUGGUAUAUAUACAAUGGGAUAUUACACAGCCAUAAAAAAGGAUGGGAUCUUGCUAUUUGUGAGAACAUGGAUGGACAUUGAAAGUAUUAUGUUAAGUAAAAUAAGUCAGACAUAGACAAAUACCAUACAAUUUCAGUCAUAUGUGAAAUCUAAAAAAGCAAAUGAAUAAACGAACAAACAAAAAGCAGAAUCCGACCUGUAAAUACAGAGAACAAACUGAUGGUUGCCAGAGGGAAGGGAGGGGAGUGUGAGGAUGGGCAAAACAGGUGAAGGGGAGUGGAACAUACAGGCUUUCAGUUAUGGGAUGAAUAAGUCAUGGGAAUAAAAGGCACAGCAUAGGGCAAGUAGUCAAUAUCUUGUGAUAGCCUGUGUGGUGACAGACGGUGGCCACACCUGUGGUGAGCACAACAUGAUGUAUAAAGAAAUUGAAUCGCUAUGUCGUGCCCCGGAAACUAAUGUAGCAUUAUUAGUUACAAUAAACUAAUGUAUUCUCUAUACUCCAAAAAUAUAUAUUUUUUAGAUUUUAUUUAUUUAUUCAUGAACAACACAGAGAGAGGCAGAGACACAGGCAGAGGGAGAAGCAGGCUCCCUCCAGGGAGCCCGAUGUGGGACUCGAUCCCAGGACCCUGGGAUCACAACCUGAGCCAAAGGCAGAAGCUCAACCACUGAGCCACCUAGGUGUCCCUCCCCUUGAAUUUUUUUAAAGUAAAAAAGUGAAAGCCUAAGUGUUGGUGGUCUGGACCCAAAUUUACACUCCUCAUCUCAGGCGGAGGAGUCAAUGAAAUGUCUUCAGAGCUCCACUGAGGUUAGGGAUGUGCCUCUUACUUUGUUGACCAUACAUCUCAUUUUCUCAGCUCUUAGGUAUCUGGAAAGCUAAUUCCCACAAUGGAGUUAAUUUUAAUUUAUGACAAUUACUUAAUCCAAAUAAAUAAGAGCAUCAUUGACUUCACUCAAAGAACUAACAAAUAGAAUUUUAGAAAGUGGAAGGUCAUGGAAGGAAUGCUCUUUUGCUAAACAGGAUCCUUGGAAAGGUCCUGCAGCACAGUCAUUUAGACAGUGGCCUCUCUGGGGGGGCUUGUCCUUAAAAGAAGCAAACCCAUGGAGAGCUAAGUGGAUCUUAAGCCCCAACUGCUCCCUUCAAUUUUCCUUUCUGUCAGAUAAGUUAUACAAUUAUUGAUAACGAUGAGUGUCCAAAUAUUUGUUUAAAGAGCAAUUUAAAGUCUCUGAUUUAUAUUCAUGAGUUAUUAAGUAGCUGCAUAGUUCCUAUGUACUUUUUUUUCUCUUAGCAUGAUGAUUAAUUGAAGUUUUAAUGCAGAUUGAAGAGAUAUUUUUCCAAUUUUGCCUGGAAUACUUUCUUCUUCUCUCCUGAAAUAACAAUUAUCCUCUGUUGGAUUUUGUGAGGGUAGAAGAAGGGAGAGGUUCUGGGUAUCUGUCUUCACUUUUUUUCUGAUGUAACUAUAUGAUUCCAAGCAAGUCUCCUAACACAGGGGCCGUUGCUGGAUUAUAGGUGACUGUCACUGAAAUCCUAAACUCUUAAGGUAGCUAGGAAGUGUCUGAUGCAACAAGAACCCCCAAGCCAGUUGGCUCUAGGUACAUCACUUCAAUUUUGACUUGAGUGUCCUACCAAUAGUGUUAUUUUUAAGUCCACCAUGCCAUGAAUAAAGUUGAGAAACUAUCAUCUCUCAUC